rnacentral:rRNA from 1 species
GAUGAACGCUGGCGGCGUCCCUAAUACAUGCAAGUCGAGCGAACGGACGAGAAGCUUGCUUUUCUGAUGUUAGCGGCGGACGGGUGAGUAACACGUGGAUAACCUACCUAUAAGACUGGGAUAACUUCGGGAAACCGGAGCUAAUACCGGAUAAUAUUUUGAACCGCAUGGUUCAAAAGUGAAAGACGGUCUUGCUGUCACUUAUAGAUGGAUCCGCGCUGCAUUAGCUAGUUGGUAAGGUAACGGCUUACCAAGGCAACGAUGCAUAGCCGACCUGAGAGGGUGAUCGGCCACACUGGAACUGAGACACGGUCCAGACUCCUACGGGAGGCAGCAGUAGGGAAUCUUCCGCAAUGGGCGAAAGCCUGACGGAGCAACGCCGCGUGAGUGAUGAAGGUCUUCGGAUCGUAAAACUCUGUUAUUAGGGAAGAACAUAUGUGUAAGUAACUGUGCACAUCUUGACGGUACCUAAUCAGAAAGCCACGGCUAACUACGUG